rnacentral:rRNA from 1 species
AGAGUUUGAUCAUGGCUCAGAUUGAACGCUGGCGGCAGGCCUAACACAUGCAAGUCGAGCGGAAACGGCAGUAUUGAAGCUUCGGUGGAUUUACUGGACGUCGAGCGGCGGACGGGUGAGUAACGGCUGGGAACCUGCCCUGACGAGGGGGAUAACCGUUGGAAACGACGGCUAAUACCGCAUAAUGUCUUNGNNUYMNUUANGAGYYNGGNACCAAAGGUGGCCUCUACAUGUAAGCUAUCGCGUUGGGAUGGGCCCAGUUAGGAUUAGCUAGUUGGUAAGGUAAUGGCUUACCAAGGCAACGAUCCUUAGCUGGUUUGAGAGGAUGAUCAGCCACACUGGGACUGAGACACGGCCCAGACUCCUACGGGAGGCAGCAGUGGGGAAUAUUGCACAAUGGGGGAGACCCUGAUGCAGCCAUGCCGCGUGUGUGAAGAAGGCCUUCGGGUUGUAAAGCACUUUCAGCAGUGAGGAAGGUCGUGUACUUAAUACGUGCACGGCUUGACGUUAGCUGCAGAAGAAGCACCGGCUAACUCCGUGCCAGCAGCCGCGGUAAUACGGAGGGUGCGAGCGUUAAUCGGAAUUACUGGGCGUAAAGCGCAUGCAGGCGGUUUGUUAAGUCAGAUGUGAAAGCCCGGGGCUCAACCUCGGAACCGCAUUUGAAACUGGCAGGCUAGAGUCUUGUAGAGGGGGGUAGAAUUUCAGGUGUAGCGGUGAAAUGCGUAGAGAUCUGAAGGAAUACCAGUGGCGAAGGCGGCCCCCUGGACAAAGACUGACGCUCAGAUGCGAAAGCGUGGGUAGCAAACAGGAUUAGAUACCCUGGUAGUCCACGCCGUAAACGCUGUCUACUUGGAGGUUGAGGUUUUAGACUUUGGCUUUCGGCGCUAACGCAUUAAGUAGACCGCCUGGGGAGUACGGCCGCAAGGUUAAAACUCAAAUGAAUUGACGGGGGCCCGCACAAGCGGUGGAGCAUGUGGUUUAAUUCGAUGCAACGCGAAGAACCUUACCUACUCUUGACAUCCAGCGAAGCCUUUAGAGAUAGAGGYGUGCCUUCGGGAGCGCUGAGACAGGUGCUGCAUGGCUGUCGUCAGCUCGUGUUGUGAAAUGUUGGGUUAAGUCCCGCAACGAGCGCAACCCUUAUCCUUGUUUGCCAGCACRUAAUGGUGGGAACUCCAGGGAGACUGCCGGUGAUAAACCGGAGGAAGGUGGGGACGACGUCAAGUCAUCAUGGCCCUUACGAGUAGGGCUACACACGUGCUACAAUGGCAGAUACAGAGGGCAGCGAGACAGCGAUGUUUAGCGAAUCCCUUAAAGUUUGUCGUAGUCCGGAUUGGAGUCUGCAACUCGACUCCAUGAAGUCGGAAUCGCUAGUAAUCGUGGAUCAGAAUGCCACGGUGAAUACGUUCCCGGGCCUUGUACACACCGCCCGUCACACCAUGGGAGUGGGCUGCACCAGAAGUAGAUAGCUUAACCUUCGGGAGGGCGUUUACCACGGUGUGGUUCAUGACUGGGGUGAAGUCGUAACAAGGUAGCCCUAGGGGAACCUGGGGCUG